AAAUACUGGUUUAAUGCCACAAAGUCAUUUGGUCAUCCUCUGCUUCCUGCUUUUGGGCAGCCUCCUUUGCCAUCUUCUUGCUCAAACAUUUCUUCUACUGAAUUACAGAGAUGAGACUCAUCUUUUUGAAAAAGUCUCUCAGAACUUCUGUAGUCAGUGAACAUCAAAAGGACCAAAGAUUUGUAGAGUGAUCCAGCUGCCUACGGCAAUGAAGUCAACCCUGAUUUUCUUUCAGCCUGGGAAAUGCUCAGCCAAGAGCCUUCACAAACAGCCUCUUUAACAUAUGAGUUUAAAAAAAAAAAUCAGUGUAGCAGAACAGUUACUUUCAUAAACACCUUUGGGGGUUUUGCUUUCUUUAAAAGUAACCUUUCUAAUGCCCCAUCUAAGAACAUUUUUAAAUGUUUUCUUAAGCAAAAAAUUUUGUUAGGCAUUUACUUUUAAAAAUGAUAAAAUAUACUUGGCUACUGCAUGUGACUUUUCUAGUACUUUUUUCCUUUGGCUCCCUUACAUGCUGAUUUAGUCCUGUUGCAGCUCGAUUUUUUAGCUAGCUUCUUUGGUGAUUCUGCCCUGCUGCGCCUCCCUUAGCUAUCUCCUUUCUGUUUUAGAAUCCAACGUUUGGGGUUGAGCCCUGGUAUUAUUGCUCCUUUUUUUCUUUAGAGAUACACACCUCCUCCAACCAGUGCACUCUGGGGUCUUGCCCAGUGAACCUUGGCGUUUGGACAUUGAAGAGGAGUAGCUGCAAAAGAAGCCUGUAAAAGAAGCAGGGGAAGCCUGGAAGCGACUGCCUUGCUGGGAUUGAUGCCUGUUGCACGGGAACUACAGAAAAUACAGCAUCAAGGAGAUAGAGAAUUAUUCUAGUGACUAGUCCAUUGGAUGUUUUCUGCCUUGCCAUUUUUUGCCCUGUGCUAGUAAUACUUUCAAAUGCCUGAUCCAUACCCCACUUGAUUUUUUAUUGUGGAUGGUGCCAUACACUUGGCCUUUUCUGACUGUAAUAUGACUCUAUUUCCAGCAUCCUAUCUCCAGCUGCUCAGCCACUCUUUUACUCCAUAGACUCCUGAUGAUUUGGGGUGUUCCAUAAUCUGAUGAUGAUUGCUAAAUUCACUUUGACAGGUCCACAUAUGCUACAAUCUCUGCUUGUCUUGCCUGGGAUCUGUUCAUUCCAUUGCUGGUCAUGGCCAUUUAUGAGAUUCUCCCUCGACCAGUGCCCCAUAUGGAACUACGUAGGAAAAACUUUCUGAUCUUAGCUCUUCAAUGCUUUCCAGUUUAUUUGUUUUAUUGGCUUAUUCUCUGGAUUUGAGGUACACAUCUGAUGUUUUUCCCACUUUCCAAAUGCUCUCAGACCAUAGUCUACUCCCCAUGUUAUUUUCCAUUUUCCCUAAUAUAUUCAUUGACUUA